CAAUAUUUAUCCCGUUGACAAUCGGAGUAGCUGAAACUAGAUCUCUGACUCUCUUGCAAAGCUACUCCCGCUGCCAAGGAAUAAGAAAGCGACACCGGAGAAGGAGAAGAGCAAAUCGGCUACGACAAGUCCAAGGACGAAGAUGACGAUGACAUUCCCCAGAACCGAUACAAGCCUCUUUUCGACCCUAACCCUUCUUCGUCUUCCUCCCUCCCCUGCUCUCGACGUAUUUUCCAAAGACCGUCGGAGUUCCUAAACAACAGUUUUCAGGAAGCUAUUAAUGACGCCGACAACGAGUGCUGGUGGCACGAUUGCCGUAAGAACAACUGAGAUAAGAACGAUUUACCUUAUGGUAAAUGCUUUUCUUUUUAAUAACAACUUAGUUUUUAGCUAUAAUAAUUUGAGUUUUAAGUCAAUAUAAUUUAAUUUAGCUGUAAAGCUUGCACUUAAGUUAAAUUUUAUGAAUUCUUAUAUGUAUUCAUUUUA